ensembl:lncRNA
UUUUUUUUGUUUUGUUUUUUUUUGUGCUUUUUUUUUUUUUUUUUUAAAUAAGAGAUGGGCCUUAAUUGCAAUGGUCCUUUCCACAAUACUUCCCCAACUUCCUGCACAAGCCUGCACGUGCCUCUCUCAAAAUCUGAUGAUGCCAUUCAGACUCAGGGGGUGCCAGGAGCUCUCUGUUUUCGGGGAACAGGGCUGACCUGAGUCACCUGCGUCGUGGAGAAGACAGCCGGGGUGCAAAGCAGAGUACUGAGGAGACCCAAAUGUGGCAGUCACAGCACAGCCCUGGUGACACUGCCAGGUCUUUUUGUGUGAGUGCCUGAGUUUGCUGAAUUUGCUGUGUGGCCUGUCAAGAGACAAAACAGGUGAGGAAGAUAUUAACAGAAUUAAUGGCUUUUAAUGAGGCUGUGGGCAGCGCAGCUCCCUUUGCCUCCAAGGCUGAGCAGCAGGGCCUAACUGAUCUUACCCUAGCACUGGCCACCAAAAAGCCAGUUGGUCUACACUGAAAAAUUUGGAGCCAGGCAGUUUUAACACUUGAUUUGUUGCUACAGAUAUACUCAUGCUGAUCACUUAAAUAGAAACUUAAUUGUCUCAGCAAUAUGGGAAGCAGGCAGGAUGAGGGAACUUGCUCUUAUGGGAGAGUGCUGAGGGACUGGGCAGGUUCAAGAGCUGUCAGGGUGGGGUAGCAAAGGAUCAGGGCACAGAAAUGGGAACCUUUAACUCAGAUAUGGGAACUGCUGAAGGAGCGCAGAGCAGCUGACCAGCCCUGACAGGGGCAGAGGGAAAACUGUCCACAUCAGAGGGCUGUGCAGAAUUUUCUUUCACAAAACUAGCUAAACCAAUAUUAGACUGGACUGUUUUGGAGAUGGAGCAGUCUGUGUAAAAAGGUAGUAUUUAUCUAUUUAUUUUUCCUAGCAUACUAAUUAGUUGAUAUUUUUCUAUUUAAAAUGUUAGCUGACUCACUUUAUAUUAUAAUAAAGCCUAUUUAGUUUAAGGAGCUGUUUGUUUGUUUUUUAAAGCUUUCAAGCCCCUCACUUGCCUUUGAGGAGACCUAUAAGAAAAUGGAAUACAGAGGACACUUGAACACUGUGGGAAGCCUGCAGUGUCAUCACCCUGCUGUGAUCAACUGUUCCCUAGCCCCAGCAAUAGUAACUUGAGCCUGGUUGAAGACCAAAUUGUUAUAACACAGGUUAUUUGUCUCCUUGGUUGCUCUGCAACCAACAACAGCAGGCUUCCUGUUGUUAGAUCACUCUGACACUCUGCAACGGAAUGUGGAGGCAUUGAACCUUGUGACGGAGGAAUUUGCAGCCUGCUUGAGUAGCCAGGAGAGUUUUCAGAAUCUGACAGAAACUCUCAUUAACCUCCCAUUAUCAUUGCUCAGAAUACAUGGGGAAAGUGGUGUUUAUCUGCAUAGCCACACAACAUAUUUGUCUUUUAAGAGACACCAUGACCACUCUGCAUGCUUGGCUGCAGUGGGUUAGCAGCACUUACUAUCUGCUAGUGCCCACGAAUCCAAAGUGAAAUGGGAGCCCCUUGAUGGGGCUGUUGACACAGCAGAAAUCUCUAUUCCAAACUGUCCUGAUCUCAGCAGCCAGAAGAGACUGGUCUGGUUUUGAAGGUCAAGCCCUGCCCUGGACCAGGGCUGCAGAGCUGGCCUCUGCUCCACACUGGCACCUCUGGGCAGGCAGGAGGAAUGUGCCUGCUUGCCAAUGAUUGCUGUUGAUUAGCAGCUGCCUCUUCUCAGGGAAAAGCAACGAGCCUGGUGGUGUCCCAUAGGACAAUCUGAUGUUUGGGAUGAGCCAGCAUUAAGUUGUGCCUGUCUUAUUAUUGGAGACAGAAAAAGGGAGCUGUAUUGCCCUCAUCAGGGGUUACAACAGAGAAAGCCCAAACAGCUGGUUCUAUAUCAAUUUGGCCCUGAGUGCCAUAGCUGGGAAUGUAAGUUGUUUUCAAGAAGUAUUUCCUUUGUAUUGAUAAAUAAUUGUGUUCUACAGAGAUCUUAAACUGCUAAAUCAGGUAGAAAACAGUGUUCAUAGCAUAAGGGAUGUUGACCACGAGUGUUAUGCAUGGUUUUUUGACAUGAAAGUUACUGUGUCACACAUCAGGAAAGUAGAGGAAAGGAUAAUUUUGUUGAAAUGCAGGCAAUUUAUUUCAAGUGUAUCCAAGAGUUGGCUGAGAGCCCAAUUUGAGCUACUGCUGUUCAGUUUGCUCUGUUAAUCCAGCCCAUGGAAGCCCAGUGCUACUGUGCCCUUCUACCCAGCAGUACACAAAAACAUCUCUUACUGUGAACUAUAUACCCUGAACUUCUUCAUAAGUAACGUUACAAUCACACAGGAUAUGUUUUAGAAAAUAGUGACCCUGUUCUGAAAAAGUCAGAAUAAAAUACAAAUUUUUUGUGGUAUUUUUAAGUAUAGUUCCACUAUUGGAUGAAUUUCAUUUUACUUUGGAGGAGAGGGGUGGUGAGGAAGAGAGCAUAUACUGGGAUUUGAUUUGGAAGAACCAUGAAGAUGGGAAGUUUGCCAGGAUACCUGAAACUCAUUCCUACCUUUUAAACCUGUAAAUCUUUUACAGAGCUAUGUAUAUGUAAAUUGGCUGAUUGUUAAUCUUUGCAAAGAGGUAAUUAAGAGGUAGUGACCUGAAGCUAGGUUAGAGGGGACAGUGUUUGAUGUCACUCCAUAACUAAUUCCAGUGAGGAAUUCCACAUUUCCAUACUUCACAUAUUUGUGGUGUUAUAUCUCUCUCUUUCUUGUCUUUCAUGUUUUUCUGGGACUUUGAAAUAUACAGCUAAUGAAGACUUUUUGAUAAUUAAAAAAAAAUACUGUUAGUUUGUAAGACAUAAAAGAUAUUUCAGGUUUUUUGACCCAUAAAGUAUGCUUUUGCCACUUUCUUCCUGUUUCACACCCACUGGAUCUGGUGAUUUGACUUCCCAGACGUAAGCAGAUCCUUCAGGCAAGUGGGUCAGUAGGGCUGGCAAAGGUUGUAUGUUUCCAGGCCACAGGAGCUGUUAAUAUAUAAACUUAUUUUGUUUUUUUAUCAGAUUGAAACUAGAUUAAAAGAAAAAAAAACAAAACAAAAGCCUCUUCCAUGUUAGAAAAUUAAGAGAGGCAGAACACUUAUUUUUAAGUCAUGAGGUGUUUCCAAAAUUAAAUUGUUCAGCUGAUAUUGGCUUUGGGAGCAUCUGCUGGCCACUUGAACAUAUUUCUAUGCAUUGCUCUUAGUGAUAUGAAAUAAUCUAUUUCUAUCAUUUGUUCCUGCUUCAUAUCUGCCACACAGAGC